rnacentral:rRNA from 1 species
UCGGCUUAGAGUUUGAUCAUGGCUCACAUUGAACGCUGGCGGCAGGCCUAACACAUGCAAGUCCAGCGGUAGGGAAGCUUGCUUCCCACCAGCGGCGGACGGGUGAGUAAUGUAUGGGGAUCUGCCCGAUAGAGGGGGAUAACUACUGGAAACGGUAGCUAAUACCGCAUAAUCUCUCAGGAGCAAAGAAUCCGUUCGCUAUCGGAUGAACCCAUAUGGGAUUAGCUAUUUGGUGAGGUAAUGGCUCACCAAGGC